AGAAACUUAGGAUCGACCAAACCAAAGGCCUUCAAAGCCUUAAACAAGAGUUAAAUUCUCUUAGUUUCUG
rnacentral:tRNA from 1 species